GGCCCUGUAGUGUAAGACAUAUUGAAUUGCAAAUUCAAAGAAGCAGCUUCAACCCUGCCGGGGCUU
rnacentral:tRNA from 1 species